rnacentral:rRNA from 1 species
UUGACCUCAAAUCGGGUGAGACUACCCGCUGAACUUAAGCAUAUCAAUAAGCGGAGGAAAAGAAACUAACAAGGAUUCCCCUAGUAACUGCGAGUGAAGCGGGAAAAGCUCAAAUUUAAAAUCUGGCGGUCUCUGGCCGUCCGAGUUGUAAUUUAGAGAAGCGUCUUCCGCGCUGGACCGUGUAC